rnacentral:sRNA from 1 species
UGAACGAAACUAUCCAUUCCGGUAACUUU